rnacentral:rRNA from 1 species
GACUACCGGGGUAUCUAAUCCCGUUUGCUCCCCUAGCUUUCGCGCCUCAGCGUCAGUGUCGGUCCAGAAAGCCGCCUUCGCCACUGGUGUUCCUCCGGAUAUCUACGCAUUUCACCGCUACACCCGGAAUUCCGCUUUCCUCUCCCGAACUCAAGCCUCGCAGUAUCCCGUGCAGAUCCUCAGUUAAGCCGAGGGCUUUCACACGAGACUUACAAGGCCGCCUACGCGCCCUUUACGCCCAGUAAUUCCGAACAACGCUUGCCACCUCUGUAUUACCGCGGCUGCUGGCACAGAGUUAGCCGUGGCUUCCUCCACCGGUACCGUCAACAUUCCGACGUAUUAGGUCGAGUGCAUUCGUCCCGGUCGACAGGAGUUUACAAUCCGAAGACCUUCAUCCUCCACGCGGCGUUGCUUCGUCAGGCUUGCGCCCAUUGCGAAAAAUUCCCCACUGCAGCCCCCCGUAGG